rnacentral:ncRNA from 1 species
GCCUUAUACAGAUGUAGUCACGCGAGACAGUGGCGCAUCUCCCUUUAAGGCAGUGAUUUAUUAGAAGCAUAGGUGACAGCACGGGUUGCGUGGCGUAAGAGUCGAAACCUGGUGAGCUUAUGUGGAGUAGGUUAUCCGUAAGACCUUGGGUUGAAAAACUCUAAAAUUGACCUGGGAAUGGCGAGUAUCGUUUCGCGAUUUUCGUUAUUCCCAGUUGCGGUUGA